ACCCGCUGAACUUAAGCAUAUCAAUAAGCGGAGGAAAAGAAACCAACAGGGAUUGCCCCAGUAACGGCGGGUGAAGCGGCAACAGCUCAAAUUUGAAAUCUGGCCCCCAGGGUCCGAGUUGUAAUUUGCAGAGGAUGCUUUUGGCAAGGUGCCUUCCGAGUUCCCUGGAACGGGACGCCAUAGAGGGUGAGAGCCCCGUCUGGUUGGAUACCGAGCCUCUGUAAAGCUCCUUCGACGAGUCGAGUAGUUUGGGAAUGCUGCUCUAAAUGGGAGGUAUAUGUCUUCUAAAGCUAAAUAUUGGCCAGAGACCGAUAGCGCACAAGUAGAGUGAUCGAAAGAUGAAAAGCACUUUGAAAAGAGGGUUAAAUAGUACGUGAAAUUGUUGAAAGGGAAGCGCUCAUGACCAGACUUGGGCCCGGUGAAUCAUCCAGCGCUCGUCGCUGGUGCACUUUGCCGGGCUCAGGCCAGCAUCAGUUCGCUCCGGGGGACAAAGGCUCUGGGAAUGUGGCUCCUCCGGGAGUGUUAUAGCCCACUGCGCAAUACCCUGGGGCGGACUGAGGUUCGCGCAUUCGUGCAAGGAUGCUGGCGUAAUGGUCAUCAGUGACCCGUCUUGAAACACGG
rnacentral:rRNA from 1 species